CUCGUGUGGUAAACGCGAAAAAAAUCUCAGCUCUCAGCUCUGAUUGUAAAAUCAAGUGGUUCGUGUAUUAAACAAUUUUACGGUUUUUAGUGGACUUUAAAAACCAGCAG